ACAGAACAGACAUUGUGACAUAUAUCUAGGCAAAUUGCCUAGAAGUGAAUCCCCUCUCCUGCUUAAGUCCUUCCCACAGAGAGCGGUUUGAUAUGUCACUGAAACCAGCAUCCAGGUGGUAUUGCUCCAUAUGCCUGAGACCCUAACAAAAGCCUAAUUACAACUCAUAUGCCUGGAGCCAGGACAUGUGCAGGAUGACUCUGCCAAGAGAGGGGAUUAUUACAUAUUGCAGAGCCCAGCACCUAGGUGGAGUGACUCUCAUCUUUUUCUUCUACCCCGUAUAUAGCCAGCUUGGUGACCUACUAUUUGAGUCUAUACCCAGGCCCAGACCACAGAUGAAAUUGUGCAAUAUGUGGAACAAACACCUAAACAAUAUAUAACACCUUCCUUGGCUCUGUCUACAAAGGGCACUUUUAUAUAUCACUGGGACCAUCAACCAGGUGAUGUUAAUUAUCUUCCUGAAACCUGUCUACAAAGAGAGUUGUGUCGUAUACCUAGGCCCGUCAUGUGAUGUUGUGCCAUAUAACUGAGACCGUAUCAAAAGCCUAAUAACAAGACGUAUGUCUGGAGCCCCGAUAUGCACAGGAUGGUGAUAUAACCCUCUUCUCUGGAAUGGGCCCCACACAAAGGAAGGAUAGUGACAUAUUGCAAGCCCAGGCACACAGGCCCAGAGCACAGUUGAAAUUGUGACAUAUGUACACCAAGCAACCAAGCAAUGUAUAACACCUCAUUUGGCAAUGGAAUCGAGGGCACUUUUACAUAUCACUGAGACCAGCGCCCAGCUGAUGUGAAAUAUUGGCCUGAACCCUGCCUACAAAAGCAUUGUGGCUUUUAUCUAGCUCCAUUACAUAAGUGAUGUGACUUCCUUCUACUGCCUUGGCCCUGCACUUAUGGUGAAUCGUGACACAAAAUUGGGUAGAGCAACCAGCCUGGGCCCUGACCAGCACAGAGAUUGAGGCAUAUUGCUGAACCCAGGACCAAGAUGAAGUCACUCUCCUGCCUUGAUCCUGCACACAGGGACCCUUGUGACAUAUAUACAGGCCAAUUGCCUAGGUGAUGUUGUGCAAUAUACCUGAGACCAGAUCAAUGGCCUAAUAAUGACUCUUUUACCUA
rnacentral:lncRNA from 1 species